rnacentral:rRNA from 1 species
GACGAACGCUGGCGGCGUGCUUAACACAUGCAAGUCGAGCGGUAAGGCCCUUUCGGGGGUACACGAGCGGCGAACGGGUGAGUAACACGUGGGUGACCUGCCCUCAGCUCUGGGAUAAGCCUGGGAAACCGGGUCUAAUACUGGAUAUGACUCCAUGACGCAUGUUGUGGGGUGGAAAGCCUUGUGCGGCUGAGGAUGGGCCCGCGGCCUAUCAGCUUGUUGGUGGGGUGANGGCCUACCAAGGCGACGACGGGUAGCCGGCCUGAGAGGGCGACCGGCCACACUGGGACUGAGACACGGGCCCAGACUCCUACGGGAGGGCAGCAGUGGGGAAUCUUGCGCAAUGGGCGAAAGCCCUGACGCAGCGACGCCGCGUGAGGGAUGACGGCCU